rnacentral:tRNA from 1 species
GGGCCCAUAACUCAACGGGAGAGUGCCACCUUUGCAAGGUGGAGGUUGGGGGUUCGAAUCCCCCUGGGUCCACCA